rnacentral:rRNA from 1 species
GACGAACGCUGGCGGCGUGCCUAAUACAUGCCAGUAGAACGCACAGUUUAUACCGUAGCUUGCUACACCAUAGACUGUGAGUUGCGAACGGGUGAGUAACGCGUAGGUAACCUGCCUGGUAGCGGGGGAUAACUAUUGGAAACGAUAGCUAAUACCGCAUAAUAUUAAUUAUUGCAUGAUAAUUGAUUGAAAGAUGCAACUGCAUCACUACCAGAUGGACCUGCGUUGUAUUAGCUAGUAGGUGAGGUAACGGCUCACCUAGGCGACGAUACAUAGCCGACCUGAGAGGGUGAUCGGCCACACUGGGACUGAGACACGGCCCAGACUCCUACGGGAGGCAGCAGUAGGGAAUCUUCGGCAAUGGACGAAAGUCUGACCGAGCAACGCCGCGGGAGUGAAGAAGGUUUUCGGAUCGUAAAGCUCGGUUGUAAGAGAAGAACGGGUGUGAGAGUGGAAAGUUCACACUGUGACGGUAUCUUACCAGAAAGGGACGGCUAACUACGUG